CACGUAGGGGGCAAGCGUUGUCCGGAUUUAUUGGGCGUAAAGAGCUCGUAGGCGGCUUGUCGCGUCGACUGUGAAAACCCGUGGCUCAACCAUGUGGUCUGCAGUCGAUACGGGCAGGCUAGAAUUCGGUAGGGGAGACUGGAAUUCCUGGUGUAGCGGUGAAAUGCGCAGAUAUCAGGAGGAACACCGGUGGCGAAGGCGGGUCUCUGGGCCGAUAUUGACGCUGAGGAGCGAAAGCGUGGGGAGCGAACAGG
rnacentral:rRNA from 1 species